rnacentral:rRNA from 1 species
CGGCGGACGGGUGAGUAACGCGUGGGUAACCUGCCUCAUACAGGGGGAUAACAGUUAGAAAUGACUGCUAAUACCGUAUAAGCGCACAGGACCGCAUGGUCAAGUGUGAAAAACUCCGGUGGUAUGAGAUGGACCCGCGUCUGAUUAGCUGGUUGGUGAGGUAACGGCCCACCAAGGCGACGAUCAGUAGCCGACCUGAGAGGGUGGCCGGCCACAUUGGGACUGAGACACGGCCCAAACUCCUACGGGAGGCAGCAG